UGGAGAUACUAUUAGACUUGAGACCGGGAGAGGUUAGAGGUACUCCCAGGGUAGAGGUGAAAUUCUGUAAUCCUGGGAGACCGCCUGUUGCGAAGGCGUCUAACUGGAACGGUUCUGACGGUGAGGGACGAAAGUUUAGGGGCGCGAACCGGAUUAGAUACCCGGGUAGUCCUAACGUGUAAACGAUGCGGACUUGGUGUUGGGGUGGCUUUUGAGCUGCUCCAGUGCCGAAGGGAAGCUGUUAAGUCCGCCGCCUGGGAAGUACGGUCGCAAGACUGAAACUUAAGGAAUUGGCGGGGGAGCACCACAACGCGUGGAGCCUGCCGGUUUAAUUGGAUUCAACGCCGGACAUCUCACCAGAGGCGACAGCUGUAUGAUAGCCAGGUUGAUGACUUUGCUUGACUAGCUGAGGAGAGGUGCAUGG
rnacentral:rRNA from 1 species